CAGCAGCCGCGGGAAUACGUAGGGUGCAAGCGUUGUCCGGAAUUAUUGGGCGUAAAGAGCUCGUAGGCGGUUAGUCACGUCGGCUGUGAAAACCUGGGGCUCAACCCCGGGCCUGCAGCCGAUACGGGCUAACUAGAAUUCGGUAGGGGAGACUGGAAUUCCUGGUGUAGCGGUGAAAUGCGCAGAUAUCAGGAGGAACACCGGUGGCGAAGGCGGGUCUCUGGGCCGAUAUUGACGCUGAGGAGCGAAAGCGUGGGGAGCGAACAGGAUUAGAUACCCCCGUAGUCCCUGUCUCUUAUAA
rnacentral:rRNA from 1 species